GAUGAACGCUGGCUACAGGCUUAACACAUGCAAGUCGAGGGGAAACGACGGGGAAGCUUGCUUCCCCGGGCGUCGACCGGCGCACGGGUGAGUAACGCGUAUCCAACCUGCCUCUGACUGAGGGAUAACCCGUCGAAAGUCGGCCUAAUACCUCAUGGCAUCGUCUGCGGGCAUCCAACGACGAUUAAAGAUUUCAUCGGUCAGGGAUGGGGAUGCGUCUGAUUAGCUUGUUGGCGGGGUAACGGCCCACCAAGGCUACGAUCAGUAGGGGUUCUGAGAGGAAGGUCCCCCACAUUGGAACUGAGACACGGUCCAAACUCCUACGGGAGGCAGCAGUGAGGAAUAUUGGUCAAUGGGCGAGAGCCUGAACCAGCCAAGUAGCGUGCAGGAAGACGGCCCUAUGGGUUGUAAACUGCUUUUAUGCGGGGAUAAAGUGAGGGACGUGUCCUUCAUUGCAGGUACCGCAUGAAUAAGGACCGGCUAAUUCCGUGCCAGCAGCCGCGGUAAUACGGAAGGUCCUGGCGUUAUCCGGAUUUAUUGGGUUUAAAGGGAGCGUAGGCCGUGGAUUAAGCGUGUUGUGAAAUGCAGGUGCUCAACGUCUGCACUGCAGCGCGAACUGGUCCACUUGAGUGUGCGCAACGCAGGCGGAAUUCGUCGUGUAGCGGUGAAAUGCUUAGAUAUGACGAAGAACUCCGAUUGCGAAGGCAGCUUGCGGGAGCACAACUGACGCUGAAGCUCGAAAGUGCGGGUAUCGAGCAGG
rnacentral:rRNA from 1 species